rnacentral:rRNA from 1 species
AGCUGCAGGAAGAGAAAGCAAAAGCGAUUGCCUUAGUAGCGGCGAGCGAAACGGCAGGAGGGCAAACCGAAGAGGUUACUCUUCGGGGUUGUAGGACUGCAAUGUGGACUCAAAGAUUAUAGAAGAAUGAUUUGGGAAGAUCAGCCAAAGAGAGUAAUAGCCUCGUAUUUAAAAUAGUCUUUGUACCUAGCAGUAUCCUGAGUACGGCGGGACACGUGAAAUCCCGUCGGAAUCUGGGAGGACCAUCUCCCAACCCUAAAUACUCCCUAGUGACCGAUAGUGAACCAGUACCGUGAGGGAAAGGUGAAAAGCACCCCGGGAGGGGAGUGAAAUAGAACCUGAAACCGUGUGCCUACAACAAGUUCGAGCCCGUUAAUGGGUGAGAGCGUGCCUUUUGUAGAAUGAACCGGCGAGUUACGUUAUGAUGCGAGGUUAAGUUGAAGAGACGGAGCCGUAGGGAAACCGAGUCUGAAUAGGGCGCCUUAGUAUCAUGACGUAGACCCGAAACCAUGUGACCUACCCAUGAGCAGGUUGAAGGUGCGGUAAGACGCACUGGAGGACCGAACCAGGGCACGUUGAAAAGUGCUUGGAUGACUUGUGGGUAGCGGAGAAAUUCCAAACGAACUUGGAGAUAGCUGGUUCUCUCCGAAAUAGCUUUAGGGCUAGCGUCGACAUUAGAGAUUCUUGGAGGUAGAGCACUGUUUGGGUGAGGGGUCCAUCCCGGAUUACCAAUCUCAGAUAAACUCCGAAUGCCAAUGAAUUAUGGUCGGCAGUCAGACUGCGAGUGCUAAGAUCCGUAGUCGAAAGGGAAACAGCCCAGACCACCAGCUAAGGUCCCAAAAUAAUUGUUAAGUGGAAAAGGAUGUGGGGUUGCACAGACAACUAGGAUGUUAGCUUAGAAGCAGCUAUUCAUUCAAAGAGUGCGUAAUAGCUCACUAGUCGAGUGACCCUGCGCCGAAAAUGUACCGGGGCUAAAACAAUUUACCGAAGCUGUGGAUACCUUUAUAGGUAUGGUAGGAGAGCGUUCUAUGUGUGAUGAAGGUAUACCGUGAGGAGUGCUGGAACGCAUAGAAGUGAGAAUGCCGGUAUGAGUAGCGAAAGACAGGUGAGAAUCCUGUCCACCGUAAGACUAAGGUUUCCAGGGGAAGGCUCGUCCGCCCUGGGUUAGUCGGGACCUAAGGAGAGACCGAAAGGUGUAUCCGAUGGACAACAGGUUGAUAUUCCUGUACUAGAGUAUGUAGUGAUGGAGGGACGCAGUAGGCUAACUAAAGCAGACGAUUGGAAGAGUCUGUCUAAGCAGUGAGGUGUGAAUUGAGUCAAAUGCUUAAUUCUAUAACAUUGAGCUGUGAUGGGGAGCGAAGUUUAGUAGCGAAGUUAGUGACGUCACACUGCCAAGAAAAGCUUCUAGCGUUUAAACAUACUCUACCCGUACCGCAAACCGACACAGGUAGUCGAGGCGAGUAGCCUCAGGUGAGCGAGAGAACUCUCGUUAAGGAACUCGGCAAAAUGACCCCGUAACUUCGGGAGAAGGGGUGCUGACUUAAAGUCAGCCGCAGUGAAUAGGCCCAAGCAACUGUUUAUCAAAAACACAGCUCUCUGCUAAAUCGUAAGAUGAUGUAUAGGGGGUGACGCCUGCCCGGUGCUGGAAGGUUAAGAGGAGUGCUUAGCGUAAGCGAAGGUAUGAAUUGAAGCCCCAGUAAACGGCGGCCGUAACUAUAACGGUCCUAAGGUAGCGAAAUUCCUUGUCGGGUAAGUUCCGACCCGCACGAAAGGCGUAAUGAUUUGGGCACUGUCUCAACGAGAGACUCGGUGAAAUUUUAGUACCUGUGAAGAUGCAGGUUACCCGCGACAGGACGGAAAGACCCCAUGGAGCUUUACUGCAGUUUGAUAUUGAGUGUCUGUACCACAUGUACAGGAUAGGUAGGAGUCUAAGAGAUCGGGACGCCAGUUUCGAAGGAGACGCUGUUGGGAUACUACCCUUGUGUUAUGGCCACUCUAACCCAGAUAGGUGAUCCCUAUCGGAGACAGUGUCUGACGGGCAGUUUGACUGGGGCGGUCGCCUCCUAAAAGGUAACGGAGGCGCCCAAAGGUUCCCUCAGAAUGGUUGGAAAUCAUUCGCAGAGUGUAAAGGUAUAAGGGAGCUUGACUGCGAGAGCUACAACUCGAGCAGGGACGAAAGUCGGGCUUAGUGAUCCGGUGGUUCCGUAUGGAAGGGCCAUCGCUCAACGGAUAAAAGCUACCCUGGGGAUAACAGGCUUAUCUCCCCCAAGAGUUCACAGCGACGGGGAGGUUUGGCACCUCGAUGUCGGCUCGUCGCAUCCUGGGGCUGUAGUCGGGCCCAAGGGUUGGGCUGUUCGCCCAUUAAAGCGGCACGCGAGCUGGGUUCAGAACGUCGUGAGACAGUUCGGUCCCUAUCCGUCGCGGGCGUAGGAAAUUUGAGAGGAUCUGCUCCUAGUACGAGAGGACCAGAGUGGACUUACCGCUGGUGUACCAGUUGUCUUGCCAAAGGCAUCGCUGGGUAGCUAUGUAGGGAAGGGAUAAACGCUGAAAGCAUCUAAGUGUGAAACCCACCUCAAGAUGAGAUUUCCCAUGAUUAUAUAUCAGUAAGAGCCCUGAGAGAUGAUCAGGUAGAUAGGUUAGAAGUGGAAGUGUGGCGACACAUGUAGCGGACUAAUACUAAUAGCUCGAGGACUUAUCCAA